rnacentral:rRNA from 1 species
GUGCCACCAGCCGCGGUAAUACUGGAGGGUGCAAGCUGUUAAUCGAAAUUACUGGGCGUAAAGCGCACGCAGGCGGUCUGUCAAGUCGGAUGUGAAAUCCCGGGGCUCAACCUGGGAACUGCAUCCGAAACUGGCAGGCUAGAGUCUUGUAGAGGGGGGGUAGAAUUCCAGGUGUAGCGGUGAAAUGCGUAGAGAUCUGGAGGAAUACCGGUGGCGAAGGCGGCCCCCUGGACAAAGACUGACGCUCAGGUGCGAAAGCGUGGGGAGCAAACAGGAUUAGAUACCCUGGUAGUCC